rnacentral:rRNA from 1 species
AUUGAACGCUGGCGGCAUGCUUUACACAUGCAAGUCGAACGGUAACAGGCCGCAAGGUGCUGACGAGUGGCGAACGGGUGAGUAAUGCAUCGGAACGUGCCCAGUCGUGGGGGAUAACGCAGCGAAAGCUGCGCUAAUACCGCAUACGAUCUAUGGAUGAAAGCGGGGGACCGUAAGGCCUCGCGCGAUUGGAGCGGCCGAUGUCAGAUUAGGUAGUUGGUGGGGUAAAGGCUCACCAAGCCAACGAUCUGUAGCUGGUCUGAGAGGACGACAGGCCACACUGGGACGGAGACACGGCCAGGGCUCCUGCGGGAGGCAGCAGUGGGGAAUUUUGGACAAUGGGCGAAAGCCUGAUCCAGCAAUCCCGCGUGUGUGAAGACGGCCUUCGGGUUGUAAAGCACUUUUGUCCGGAAAGAAAUGGCUCUGGUUAAUACCUGGGGUCGAUGACGGUACCGGAAGAAUAAGGACCGGCUAACUACGUGCCAGCCGCCGCGGUAAUAC